CCACCGGUUUUUCUCAAAACCCCUGAAUUUAGCCACUUGAUUUCUU
rfam:Beta vulgaris subsp. vulgaris chromosome 6, whole genome shotgun sequence.